rnacentral:rRNA from 1 species
CACGUAGGGGGCGAGCGUUGUCCGGAUUCAUUGGGCGUAAAGGGCGCGCAGGCGGCCCGGUAAGUCGGAUGUGAAAACUCGAGGCUCAACCUCGAGCGUGCACCCGAUACUGCCGGGCUUGAGGCAGGUAGGGGAGAUCGGAAUUCCUGGUGUAGCGGUGAAAUGCGCAGAUAUCAGGAGGAACACCGGUGGCGAAGGCGGAUCUCUGGGCCUGUCCUGACGCUGAGGCGCGAAAGCGUGGGGAGCGAACAGG